GACGAACGUUGGCGGCGUGCUAUUACAUGCAAGUAGACCGCUGAAGAGAGGAGCUUGCUCUUCUUGGAUGAGUUUGCGAACGGGUGAAGUAACGCGUAGGUAACCUGCCUUGUAGCGGGGGGAUAACUAUUGGAAACGAUAGCUAGUACCGCAUAACAAUGGAUGACACAUGUCAUUUAUUUGAAAGGGGCAAUUGCUCCACUACAAGAUGGACCUGCGUUGUAUUAGCUAGUAGGUGAGGUAAUGGCUCACCUAGGCGACGAUACAUAGCCGACCUGAGAGGGUGAUCGGCCACACUGGGACUGAGACACGGCCCAGACUCCUACGGGAGGCAGCAGUAGGGAAUCUUCGGCAAUGGGGGCAACCCUGACCGAGCAACGCCGCGUGAGUGAAGAAGGUUUUCGGAUCGUAAAGCUCUGUUGUAAGUCAAGAACGGGUGUGAGAGUGGAAAGUUCACACUGUGACGGUAGCUUACCAGAAAGGGACGGCUAACUACGUGCCAGCAGCCGCGGUAAUACGUAGGUCCCGAGCGUUGUCCGGAUUUAUUGGGCGUAAAGCGAGCGAGGCGGUUUGAUAAGUCUGAAGUUAAAGGCUGUGGCUCAACCAUAGUUCGCUUUGGAAACUGUCAAACUUGAGUGCAGAAGGGGAGAGUGGAUUUCAUGUGUAGCGGUGAAAUGCGUAGAUAUUGGAGGACCCCGGUGGCGAAAGCGCUCUCUGGUCUGUAACUGACGCUGAGGUCGAAAGCGUGGGAGCGAACAG
rnacentral:rRNA from 1 species